AUUGAACGCUGGCGGCAGGCUUAACACAUGCAAGUCGAGCGAGCGGAGGACGGGUGAGUAAUGUCUGGGAAACUGCAUGAUGGGGGGGGAUAAGUACUGGAAACGGUAGCUCAUAACGCAUACAAUCAGAUAUGCCCAGAUGGGAUGAGCGAGUAGGUGGGGUAAUGGCUCACGUAGGCGACUGUCCCUAGCUGGUUUGAGAGGAUGACCAGCCAGACUGGAAGUGAGACACGGUCCAGACUCCUACGGGAGGCAGCAGUGGGGAAUAUCGCACAAGGGGCGGAAGCCUGAGGCAGCACGGCCGCGUGUGUGAAGAAGGCCUUCGGGUUGUAAAGCAAUUUCAGCGGGGAGGCGUUACUCGCAGAAGAAGCACCGGCUAACUCCGUGCCAGCAGCCGCGGUAAUAC
rnacentral:rRNA from 1 species